rnacentral:lncRNA from 10 species
ACCCCGGCUGAGACCGGCCCCGCGAGGCGCGCAGGGUCCUCACUUGUGGAAAGAAACGGGCUUGUCCUUGUCGUAGCGGUUCUUGCAGCCGUAGGCGGAGCAGGACUGCACCAUCCUUCCGGUCCUCAGGCACUUCACUUCUGCCGCCGCAGAAGGCAGGGGAAGCUGUUCUCAGUGUCGCUGCGCUCGGUUGGAUUCCCUCGCUUCUUUUGUAGCUUUGGCCAACAGUUACAGUGAUGGUGGCCUCCCUCGGGGGUGACUAGUGUGCCCGUUUUGUUGUUUGCAUUAGCAGAAGGACCACAGCCAUCGCCCGUCUCCCAUCUCCAAGAUGGCGGAGGCAGCUUCAACCUCACCUCUCGCGAGGGGUAUCACAAGUUUCUGUGAGAGCCAACGUGACAGAUUUUUAGCAAUGAAAAAAGACACACUCGCCAAAUCAUCUCAAUUGCCAACGCAGAAGCGUUUUAUAUAUAUGUAUGUAUAUGUAUGUAUAUAUGUGUGUAUGUAUAUAUGUGUGUGUGUAUGUAUAUAUAUAUAUAUAUAUGUAAUUUUUUAAAUAAAUAGAGGCGUUGUCUCCCCACGUUGCCCAGGUCAGUCUGGAACUCGAGCUCAAGGGAUCCUCCCAUCUCGACCUCCCCAUGGGUUGGGAUUACAGGAGUUGAGCCACCAGGCUGUCCCUCCCCAGAAGCUUUUCUGAAGGCUCUCCAUUGCUGUGAUUUCCAUGUGCUGUGUUGCAAAUAGCGAACUGCUGCAGCAAUUUUCACACCUGAGAGAGAAUAUGUUAGAGGGGUUCGAACUAGAGCGACUCUGUGUUGAGUGAGGGCUAGGAAAAUGAGGCUGGGACUUGCUGGGCUGCAUUCCCGGGAAGUUAGGUAUUCCUAGCCUCUAGAUGUGUAUACCAUUAAGGCAACAGAUUGAUAAUGUUUACUACACAGACCCAGACUACCAAGUGUCCAGAUAUCCCGAUAUUUUGAGAACAGAAGCAUUCCUAAUUUUGCUUUAAAGAUAAUAAUAUUGGGCUGGGCACAGUGCCUCACGCCUGUAAUCCCAGCACUUUGGAAGGCCGAGGCGGGCGGAUCACUUGAGGUCAGGAGUUCAAGACUAGCCUGGUCAACAUGGUGAAAACGUCUCUACUAAAAAUACAAAAAUUAACCGGGUGUGGUGGCACAUGCCCUCGAAUUUCAGCUACUCUGGAGGCUGAGGCAGGAUAAUCGCUUGAAUCCGGGAGGCGGGGGUUGCAGUGAGCCGUGCUUGCACCACUGCACUCCAGCCUGGGCGACAGAGUAAGACUCUGUCUCAUAAAUAAAGAUAAUAUCGAUUCUUACAUAAUAUAGUAAUUAAUCCUUUAUCACAAACCCUUGUAGCAAAGCACAUCUCCCCA